GGUGUGACUGCGUACCUUUUGUAUAAUGGGUCAGCGACUUAUAUUCUGUAGCAAGGUUAACCGUAUAGGGGAGCCGAAGGGAAACCGAGUCUUAACUGGGCGUUAAGUUGCAGGGUAUAGACCCGAAACCCGGUGAUCUAGCCAUGGGCAGGUUGAAGGUUGGGUAACACUAACUGGAGGACCGAACCGACUAAUGUUGAAAAAUUAGCGGAUGACUUGUGGCUGGGGGUGAAAGGCCAAUCAAACCGGGAGAUAGCUGGUUCUCCCCGAAAGCUAUUUAGGUAGCGCCUCGUGAACUCAUCUUCGGGGGUAGAGCACUGUUUCGGCUAGGGGGCCAUCCCGGCUUACCAACCCGAUGCAAACUACGAAUACCGAAGAAUGUUAUCACGGGAGACACACGGCGGGUGCUAACGUCCGUCGUGAAGAGGGAAACAACCCAGACCGCCAGCUAAGGUCCCAAAGUCAUGGUUAAGUGGGAAACGAUGUGGGAAGGCACAGACAGCCAGGAUGUUGGCUUAGAAGCAGCCAUCAUUUAAAGAAAGCGUAAUAGCUCACUGGUCGAGUCGGCCUGCGCGGAAGAUGUAACGGGGCUAAACCAUGCACCGAAGCUGCGGCAGCGAC
rnacentral:rRNA from 1 species